rnacentral:tRNA from 1 species
GCAGAGGUGGUCCAGUGGUAGAAUUCCCACCUUCCAUGUGGGUGACCUGGGUUUGAUUCCCAGCCAGUGUG